rnacentral:lncRNA from 1 species
GCCAGGUAGGCCGAACUGCUCCUCCCUGCUUCCGCGGCUGAGAAGUAAGUGGUGACGAGGAGGUGGCGAGUGCCCACUUGGUGCCUAUCCAGCCUGUCAGUCUGACAGUGCCUCGCGCCAGCUGGCUGCUCGGCUCAAGGCGCCCAGGAUGCUUCGUUCUCGAGGCCCUUCCCUGCCUCGCUUCAGCAGCGCUGCCAAUCUGUUCAAGCUCCAGUCCCGCCACGAACAGCGAUUCCUGUCUAUGUGGUGUCUUCCACAAAUGCUCCUGCCAUUCUGAAGCCAUCUCCCAAUGGAG